GCCCGGAUAGCUCAGCGGUAGAGCACCUCCAUGGUAAGGAGGGGGUCGUGGGUUCAAGUCCCACUCCGGGCU
rnacentral:tRNA from 2 species